CCCCAGCGAUGAGCUUGCACCUUACCGUGGUGCUGGGGUUCAGUAUUCCUCUGAAAGGAGGAAGAAGCCAAGACAAGC
rnacentral:ribozyme from 1 species